UACUUGUAUAUUCCUUUGGAGGUUGUCCUUUCUUUUGCAAUCCCCAACAACGGCUUUCUAUACAAGGUCCGUCCAGUUUAUCAGGAUUGGGGGAAGUCUGUACUGUAACUAGCAGAGGAAAUCAAGCAAGCUCUAUCUACUAAGCAGGGAUGAAGCUGUCUUCAAGCGGUUAGGUGUAAAGCAGAGUUCUAAACAUGCAUGCUAGCUAAAUUGGUGUAUAGCUAUAGGACAUAAUGAUUUGGGAACUGGUAAUAUCCUUCGUACAGAGAAAACGUAAAACUAGGUACUAAACAAAAAGAGACCUGAGAAUACAGAAAAGUUACUAACCUGUGGAUCCAUUAAUACAUACGAAAUGCACUUAUUAGAGGAUAAUCCCCAGAAUGUGUCCCAGCGGAAUAUCUACCUUCGAUUGAGGGUGGUCUCGGAGAGAGUUUCGUCAGGAAACGUUUGAGACUCAGAAAAUCCUCUAUAACUUGAGAAAAUCACAACCACAUGUUCCACUUUGAUAAGCCCACAAUAAAAAAGAAAAAGAAACAGAUAGAUUCUGGAGGUCAAACUAGGAAUAUCAGUGACAUUUCAUCAAAGUUGAGAAUACUGAAGAUGACUGAAAUCAAAUUUUGAAUAUUUAGCCUAACCUAACCUGUAUGAAAAUGGAAAGUUGAGGAAUGGUGAUGAAACAGAUAAUGUUCUUAUUCUUUUCGGAAAUUCACAAUGAACUAAACUGGUAUCUUAAAUGAGAAAGCAUUCAAAAUAUUUUUCUGCUGUGCAAGAUCAUCGACUUCAAGUUAUUCAUCCUGAAUGAUUUGAUACAUUUUAUAAUGUUUUGGCUUACGAGAGCGCUAUUAAAGUUAUGAGUCAACUAGGAGGUAUCAGUAUAAUUGAACCCGUAAUACACUCCUCUUUCCCGAUAGAAGUUUUUUUUUCUC